AGAAGAGCACAUGGAUACAUUUGUGAGAGAAAAACUCGUCGAAUGCAGUCUUAUCGAGACGUCUAAUGGUUGGAACAAACGUGGAAUUCCUUAUCCGAGCAGAGUCCACAAAACCCCAUCCAUUUGUCAUGACAAUUUGAAAAUGCCAGCAGAUCUGUCAGACAUUGAUCAUAAUCAAUGGACAGGUAAGGAUAUUCUGGACAAUUUUCAAAAGGAAUUGCAAAUUGUAUAUUUAAUUGCAUUUUUCCACAUGUGGACGCAUAAAUUGUGACAUAGACCAAACGCAAUUGAAAAGCAUUUGAAUUUCAGAUGCCUUACACGGAAACCUGUCAAUCCUAUCAGGGGUGGGACUAUACUAUGGGGCGUGUUUGUAUUGGGAGAUAUUUUGUAGUUUUUACCCCAAAUCUCUCACUGUUUGCACUCUGAUGCACAUCAGCAAAACAACAUUGCAGUUCUACUCUUAUUUACCUCUUUGCAUCUUACCCUAUAUUUUAUUCCUCAGGUGAAAAGCAUUUGGUUAAUAGUGAAUAUUGACCAAUAGUACCAUUGUGGCUCCCACCAUUAGCAGGGGAUAGUAGCUGCAUUUGGGGUUAAAAUGACUAAAAAGAUUAUUUAUUGUGUAAGGUGCCAAGGAUAUAGGGAGACCCGGGUUGCACUGUCUGUUCUUUAACACGCAUCUCUCGGAGUGGCAGCUGCCUUUAGUAGUGCCUUUACCUCCAUUGUCCAAAGCAUUUGGCACAAUUGUCUUUGAGUGAUGUCACCUCCCAAUACAAACACGCCCCAUAGUAUUGGUCCCACCCCUGACACAGAUUGACAGGUUUCCAUGUGAGGCAUUGGAAAUUCAGAUGCUAAAGUAAUUGCAAUUCCAUUUCAGUUUUGGCAUGUUACAUGCGCGACACAGUGAAAAAGCAGACGUGGUAAUUAAUAACAUCCGAUGUCCUUGUUCUUAUGAUGCAUCUAAUCUAACAUAAGUCUGUUUCAUUCUUAUUCCGAGGUCACUGCAGUCACCCGGAUCCAGUCUGUAUCCAGAUCAGAUGGUGGAUCAGCACCUAGAGAUGACCUCUACAGCCCUGAAAGACAGCGGAGACCAGGACAACUAGAUGAGCCCCAGAGACAGAUCCCCUGUAAAGACCUUGUCUCCUAGACGGACAUCGGCAUUAGACAUCGGGAACCAGAUGUGUCCACUGCACAAUCUGACUCUGCUGCAGCCUGGAAUUGAACCGCU
ensembl:lncRNA